rnacentral:rRNA from 1 species
CAGCAGCCGCGGGAAUACGUAGGGGGCAAGCGUUAUCCGGAAUUACUGGAUGUAAAGGGAGCGUAGACGGUUAAACAAGUCUGAAGUGAAAUGCCGGGGCUCAACCCCGGAGCUGCUUUGGGAACUGUAGAACUGGAGUGUCGGAGGGGUAAGCGGAAUUCCCAGUGUAGCAGUGAAAUGCGUAGAGAUGUGGAGGAACACCGAUGGCGAAGGCAGCCCCCUGGGCCAAUACUGACGCUCAUGCACGAAAGCGUGGGGAGCAAACAGGAUUAGAGACCCCGGUAGUCCCUGUCUCUUAUAC